rnacentral:lncRNA from 10 species
AGAAUGGCGAGGCAAGAGAAAAUGCAUCCUUCUGAUCCCUCAUGAUGGCAAAGGACAGACACUUAAACACAGCGAGACCUACCUAAAACGGUGAAUUUUGUAUCUCAGAAGGCAACACUACAACCUGAGAAGCAGCCCUUUAGUAACUGUUACAACUCAGCAUGAACUGGUAAAUUGCUUAUCUUAGCUUAUCAAAGCUUAUCAAAAAAUAGCAUGUUAUCCAAGAAGGAUAGACUUUAAUAGGGCUGGAAACAUCUUGAACUUCAACUGUGGCAUGGAGAGCAAAAGGGAGGAAUAUGUUAUGGGUUUGCAUGUCUUCACAGAGCAGAACAGGUGGAUCGUAUUUUAUUUUAUUUUAUUUUUUUAGGUUGUUUUCUUCAGCUGUUAGGGAACUGUCUCCUAGAAAGGACUGAAUUUAGCAUUGCAAACAUUAUCAAUAGUAACUGGAAUUCCAUUUCUUUAUAAGCAGACUUCCUGUCAACUGGUUACUCUUUGAGGGUUUUUUUUUAAACCAAAAUUUGAAGAUUUUUUUGGUUGAUAAUACACUUUGAAAUGUUCCAGAGAUGUCUUAGUAGCUUUUUUUGUAUUAUGCAUCAAACGCAUCCUGGGUUGACAUUUAAUAGAAUAAUAUUCCAUAAGGAAAAUUGCUUACUUCAAUUUUUCUGUUUGGACAACAGAAUCUUAAUUAUAAAGGUGAUAUAUUUUAUUCAAUUUAGUUAUCUAGCUGAAACUAACCAAGAAAGGGUUAUAUAACCCUAAAACUUAAAGUAUAAUAAUAAAAAAAAGUGAAAAAAAGAAUUUUAUGAAGACAACAAAAAUAUAAUGGUGACUAAAUCUACAUUAUUGUACAGUAAGAUUGUACAUAAUUAUAUAAAGCAAAGUACAUAAUUAUUAUGUAGGGUCUGAUAUCAAUUUCUCUUCAUUAGAGAUUGAUGAAACCUCUUUGCCAAGGAUUGACUAAAGAAAGUGUUUCUACUUUGAUCUGUUUUUAGUUUUCCUUUCUUUUUUUUUAAAAUAACAUCCAAGUUCUGUCUUUUAUAUAUGAUUUACCUUAA